GACGAACGCUGGCGGCGUGCUUAACACAUGCAAGUCGAACGGAAAGGCCCUGCUUUUGUGGGGUGCUCGAGUGGCGAACGGGUGAGUAACACGUGAGUAACCUGCCCUUGACUUUGGGAUAACUUCAGGAAACUGGGGCUAAUACCGGAUAGGAGCUCCUGCUGCAUGGUGGGGGUUGGAAAGUUUCGGCGGUUGGGGAUGGACUCGCGGCUUAUCAGCUUGUUGGUGGGGUAGUGGCUUACCAAGGCUUUGACGGGUAGCCGGCCUGAGAGGGUGACCGGCGACAUUGGGACGGAGAUACGGCCCAGACUCCUACGGGAGGCAGCAGUGGGGAAUAUUGCACAAGGGGCGGAAGCCGUAUGCAGCAACGCCGCGUGCGGGAUGACGGCCUUCGGGUGGUAAACCGCUUUCGCCUGUGACGAAGCGUGAGGGACGGGAAUGGGUAAAGAAGCACCGGCGAACUACGU
rnacentral:rRNA from 1 species